UCCCUGGUGGCUCAGAUGGUAAAGCGUCUGCCUGCAAUGCAGGAGACCAGGGUUUGAUCCCUGGGUUGGGAA
rnacentral:tRNA from 1 species